rnacentral:tRNA from 1 species
AUUUAUUUAAUAUAAUAAAGUAUAUUUAACUUCCAAUUAAAAAGACUGUUCAAUCAGAAUAAAUA